AUUGAACGCUGGCGGCAGGCCUAACACAUGCAAGUCGAACGGUAGCACAGAGAGCUUGCUCUCGGGUGACGAGUGGCGGACGGGUGAGUAACGUCUGGGAAGCUGCCCGAUGGAGGGGGAUAACUACUGGAAACGGUAGCUAAUACCGCAUAACGUCGCAAGACCAAAGUGGGGGACCUUCGGGCCUCACACCAUCGGAUGUGCCCAGAUGGGAUUAGCUAGUAGGUGGGGUAAUGGCUCACCUAGGCGACGAUCCCUAGCUGGUCUGAGAGGAUGGCCAGCCACACUGGAACUGAGACACGGUCCAGACUCCUACGGGAGGCAGCAGUGGGGAAUAUUGCACAAUGGGCGCAAGCCUGAUGCAGCCAUGCCGCGUGUAUGAAGAAGGCCUUCGGGUUGUAAAGUACUUUCAGCGGGGAGGAAGGCGGUGAAGUUAAUAGCUUCACCGAUUGACGUUACCCGCAGAAGAAGCACCGGCUAACUCCGUGCCAGCAGCCGCCGUAA
rnacentral:rRNA from 1 species